rnacentral:rRNA from 1 species
GACGAACGCUGGCGGCGUGCUUAACACAUGCAAGUCGAGCGGUAAGGCCCUUUCGGGGGUACACGAGCGGCGAACGGGUGAGUAACACGUGGGUGACCUGCCCUCAGCUCUGGGAUAAGCCUGGGAAACUGGGUCUAAUACUGGAUAUGACUCCAUGACGCAUGUUGUGGGGUGGAAAGCCUUGUGCGGCUGAGGAUGGGCCCGCGGCCUAUCAGCUUGNGGUGGGGUGAUGGCCUACCAAGGCGACGACGGGUAGCCGGCCUGAGAGGGCGACCGGCCACACUGGGACUGAGACACGGCCCAGACUCCUACGGGAGGCAGCAGUGGGGAAUCUUGCGCAAUGGGCGAAAGCCUGACGCAGCGACGCCGCGUGAGGGAUGACGGCCU